rnacentral:rRNA from 1 species
GAUGAACGCUGGCGGCGUGCCUAAUACAUGCGAGUCGAGCGAACGGACGAGAAGCUUGCUCCUCUGAUGUUAGCGGCGGACGGGUGAGUAACACGUGGAUAACCUACCUAUAAGACUGGGAUAACUUCGGGAAACCGUAGCUAAUACCGGAUAAUAUUUUGAACCGCAUGGUUCAAAAGUGAAAGACGGUCUUGCUGUCACUUAUAGAUGGAUCCGCGCUGCAUUAGCUAGUUGGUAAGGUAACGGCUUACCAAGGCAACGAUGCAUAGCCGACCUGAGAGGGUGAUCGGCCACACUGGAACUGAGACACGGUCCAGACUCCUACGGGAGGCAGCAGUAGGGAAUCUUCCGCAAUGGGCGAAAGCCUGACGGAGCAACGCCGCGUGAGUGAUGAAGGUCUUCGGAUCGUAAAACUCUGUUAUUAGGGAAGAACAAAUGUGUAAGUAACUAUGCACAUCUUGACGGUACCUAAUCAGAAAGCCACGGCUAACUACGUG